rnacentral:rRNA from 1 species
CCUACGGGAGGCAGCAGUAGGGAAUUUUCGUCAAUGGGGGAAACCCUGAACGAGCAAUGCCGCGUGAGUGAAGAAGGUCUUCGGAUCGUAAAGCUCUGUUGUAAGAGAAAAACGGCCUUCAUAGGGAAUGAUGGAGGAGUGAUGGUAUCUUACCAGAAAGCCACGGCUAACUACGUGCCAGCAGCCGCGGUAAUACGUAGGUGGCGAGCGUUAUCCGGAAUGAUUGGGCGUAAAGGGUGCGUAGGUGGCACGAUAAGUCUGGAGUAAAAGGGAGCGGCUCAACCGCUGUUGGCUCUGGAAACUGUCGAGCUAGAGAGCAGGAGAGGGCGACGGAAUUCCAUGUGUAGCGGUAAAAUGCGUAGAUAUAUGGAGGAACACCGGUGGCGAAGGCGGUCGCCUGGCCUGCAACUGACACUGAAGCACGAAAGCGUGGGGAGCAAAUAGGAUUAGAUACCCUAGUAGUCC